rnacentral:tRNA from 1 species
GCCGGCGUGGCUCAGUGGUAGAGCGUUGGCCUGCGCACCGAAGGGCCAUGGGUUCUAUUCCCGGUCAAGGGCA